AACCUGUAAACUUUUUCUUUCCAUAAACCAAGCUCAACCUGUAUAUAUACUCAUAACAUAACAUAAACCACACACUGGAGCUCUCAUCAAAUGCUCCAAUGGGGUAACAUAACAUGCAUACAUUAAGCUUGGUUGAACAUAAACAUCAUAAAAACAUUCUAUAGAUCAUGUAUCAAAAGGGAUAACCAUACACAUAGGGUCAAGCACAACCUCUAAUCCUCAAUAUCAUUAUUACAUAUCAUGACUACAUAAGACAUUACAUUACAAUUUCAUCAUGUCCACAACUUCUA
rnacentral:lncRNA from 1 species